rnacentral:rRNA from 1 species
UACGUAGGGUGCAAGCGUUAAUCGGAAUUACUGGGCGUAAAGCGUGCGCAGGCGGUUUUGUAAGUUUUGUCGUGAAAGCCCCCGGGCUCAACCUGGGAAUUGCGAUGAAGACUGCAAGGCUUGAAUCUGGCAGAGGGGGGUAGAAUUCCACGUGUAGCAGUGAAAUGCGUAGAGAUGUGGAGGAACACCGAUGGCGAAGGCAGCCCCCCUGGGUCAAGAUUGACGCUCAUGCACGAAAGCGUGGGGAGCAAACAGG